AUACGGGAGGCAGCAGUAGGGAAUAUUGGACAAUGGGCGCAAGCCUGAUCCAGCCAUCCCGCGUGAAGGAUUAAGGUCCUAUGGAUUGUAAACUUCUUUUCUCUGGGAAUAAAAACUGGGAUUCUUCCUGGCUUGAAGGUACCAGAGGAAUAAGCACCGGCUAACUCCGUGCCAGCAGCCGCGGUAAUACGGAGGGUGCAAGCGUUAUCCGGAUUCACUGGGUUUAAAGGGUGCGUAGGUGGCUUUGUAAGUCAGUGGUGAAAGCCCGGAGCUUAACUCCGGAACUGCCAUUGAUACUGCUUAGCUUGAAUCAGGUCGAGGUGGAUGGAAUAUUACAUGUAGCGGUGAAAUGCUUAGAUAUGUAAUAGAACACCGAUUGCGAAGGCAGUUCACUAGGCCUGAAUUGACACUGAGGCACGAAAGCGUGGGGAUCAAACAGGAUUAGAUACCCCGGUAGC
rnacentral:rRNA from 1 species